rnacentral:rRNA from 1 species
CCUAAUACAUGCAAGUCGAGCGAACAGACGAGGAGCUUGCUCCUCUGACGUUAGCGGCGGACGGGUGAGUAACACGUGGAUAACCUACCUAUAAGACUGGGAUAACUUCGGGAAACCGGAGCUAAUACCGGAUAAUAUAUUGAACCGCAUGGUUCAAUAGUGAAAGACGGUUUUGCUGUCACUUAUAGAUGGAUCCGCGCCGCAUUAGCUAGUUGGUAAGGUAACGGCUUACCAAGGCAACGAUGCGUAGCCGACCUGAGAGGGUGAUCGGCCACACUGGAACUGAGACACGGUCCAGACUCCUACGGGAGGCAGCAGUAGGGAAUCUUCCGCAAUGGGCGAAAGCCUGACGGAGCAACGCCGCGAGAGUGAUGAAGGUCUUCGGAUCGUAAAACUCUGUUAUUAGGGAAGAACAAAUGUGUAAGUAACUAUGCACGUCUUGACGGUACCUAAUCAGAAAGCCACGGCUAACUACGUGCCAGCAGCCGCGGUAAUACGUAGGUGGCAAGCGUUAUCCGGAAUUAUUGGGCGUAAAGCGCGCGUAGGCGGUUUUUUAAGUCUGAUGUGAAAGCCCACGGCUCAACCGUGGAGGGUCAUUGGAAACUGGAAUACUUGAGUGCAGAAGAGGAAAGUGGAAUUCCAUGUGUAGCGGUGAAAUGCGCAGAGAUAUGGAGGA